rnacentral:rRNA from 1 species
AUUGAACGCUGGCGGCAGGCCUAACACAUGCAAGUCGAGCGAGCGGCGGACGGGUGAGUAAUGUAUGGGGACUGCCCGAUAGCGGGGGAUACCUACUGGAAACGGUAGCUAAUACCGCAUACUAUCGGAUAACCCAUAUGGGAUUAGCUAGUAGGUGGGGUAAAGGCUCACCUAGGCGACGCUCUCUAGCUGGUCUGAGAGGAUGAUCAGCCACACGGGGACUGAGACACGGCCCAGACUCCUACGGAGGCAGCAGUGGGGAAUAUUGCACAAUGGGCGCAAGCCUGAUGCAGCCAUGCCGCGUGUAUGAAGAAGGCCUUAGGGUUGUAAAGUACUUUCAGCGGGGAGGCGUUACCCGCAGAAGAAGCACAGGCUAACUCCGUGCCAGCAGCCGCGGUAAUAC